rnacentral:tRNA from 7 species
ACCUAUUUAGCUCAGUUGGUAGAGUGCAAGCCUCUUAACCUUGUGGUCGUGCGUUUGAGUCUUGCUGUGGUGG